rnacentral:lncRNA from 1 species
CCCAUUCCAUCUUUAUAUCAUUUACCUAACCCUAAAAAUGCUAUACACCUGCCCGCGGCGGGCAGCUCCCACCUGCCUGUUUCUGUUCGCCAUUGCCAGCCCCAAACGCCCAUCUCACCGUAACCGUUUCAGAAGCCCUUCUACCCAAGAUUCCUUCUCACUACACACUCUUUCACUCGCCCCCUACUAACCAAAAUCGCGCGUCGAUCUUUUUAGAAGGCAUGUGUUGGAGAUAUAGGAGCCAUAGGAUUGAUUUAAGGUUAAUACUAUCCCCCUAUUUUUUCAGGAUAUGUCUAUAAAAGAAAGGAUUCCACUCUGAGAAGGGGAUUUUUUUUUUUUGGAUCUGGAAAAAGAAAAAGUUUUCUUCUCUGAAUAUUUUUAUACAAAGACAACCGAAAAUCAAUUGGUAUUGUUCAUUUAUUAAAGAAAAUUUCUGGAAAACGAGGCAAAUGUCUGAAGUUUUAUAGCUGAGCUUCAAGUUCUCAACCCUAAUGGGUUGGUUUUUAAGUCAUUGGAGCCAGCUUUCCUGUUGAUUAAGCUUAGGUUUGGAUAUUGGGAGACUCAUUGUUGCUCUCGUCGGUUUCGAAUCCAUUUCCACUGUUGUUUUCCUUGUUUGCUACUGAACCUUGCUAGGAUUUUGGAGUCAAAGGUGUAUUUGCUGAUUCUAUAAUUACUAUAAAAGAAGAUUGCAAUUUCAGGUUUAAUCUCUUCUCCUAUGUACCUUUGUUUUAAGGUGUUAUUGAGCCAUGGGGAUUUGUUUCUAGAAUGGUGUUUUUCUUUGAUCAAAUUUCAUGAGGAAGUCGAACUUGGGAUUAUCAUUUAGUCUCAAUUCAUAUUUGAAAGUGAUAUUUGAUACGUUGUUCUUGCUGUUGAAUCUUUUCUCACUGGUUUGAUGUGCUUGAGUACGUUUAGUCAGUAAGAGUUGAUUUGAGUGGUCGUUUUUCUAUACUUUAUAUGCUUUAACUGUUAUUACGGUGUCGAAGUAUCUUUUGAGUCAAGAUUUCAUCGCUUUCAAAUGGACGAUGUGUUCAGCUUUGUAAUUGUUAAACGAGCAUAAACCUGUGAUGCUUAUUCUCAUGGUGUUUCUUUGGCUUAUUCUGCUAUCAAAAGAACGAUCGCAUGUCCUUAGGAAGUCAAAAUGGCCGAUCGAAUUUGAAACAGUGUUAUGAGUCUAAUUAGCCUAUUCUUCUGAAAUCUUCCUUAUUCGCUUGGGACUUUUAAACUAGUGUCGCCAUAUUAGCCUGACUAAUUGAUUUCAAGAGUUUUGUCGAUCAAUGACUUCCUGAUUUUUUAUUAAGGAUUAGCUACUUCACAAAAAUGAGUUCCCUGUGUGUUUUUUGCUGUCCACGAAAUGUUUUGAUGUUCAAAGUAGUCUGCUCAUGCUAAAUGCUUAGUCUCUACAUGUUUGACUUGAAUUGGUUAGUUUUAGGACUGCUAAACGAGUCAUGAAUCACUAAAGUGCCCUGUUUUCUGAUUUCAUGACCAUUUUAAUGCGCUUUGCUGGCUUGAAAUUGCUGAAAUUCUCCUUGAUAUUGUUUGUCUCUUGUUGAUUACUUGUUUAUCUUAAAACAUGCUCUGUUAUGCUAAAGGCAGUAUGGCUGAUCUCUGAUUGUCAGGGCAGCAACCGUGCUUAAAUGAUAAAUUGAUGCCCAUGUUUGGUAGUCUGAAGAACACUAAUUCUAAAUUUGGAUUAAUAAUGUUGUUUCUUCUAUAGUCAUGGCUCAAUGCUAGGUUAACUUGUAUGAUUGGAUUGAGUUAUUACUUGGUUCUGUUAAUCAAUUUUAAUGCAACUCUUUGUAUUAAUCAUUUUUCAGGAAUUCAAAAGAUGUUCGUUUCGAAUUUAGUUGGUUACUGCUAUGAUCUUCUAUUAUAUUAAAGGUGGUUUGAAGCAUGUUUUAGCUGUCGUUAACUUGAAUUAUUUUGUUUUGUUGAAGCUUAGAGUAUGGGAUUCUGCUUUGUUUAAUUGGUAUGUUAUGGCAUGCUAUUUUUAUUUGAUUUUGUUCUAUAGCAGUGGGUAGUGUCUAGCCCAAGGCAGCGCCUAGGUUGCAAGUUUGAGGGCAGGAGCUAAUUCUGAUUUUUUUUAUGCCUUGGAAACUAUCUUGUUUACUGCAAUUCUUAUAUUAUUAAAUCUGAAAUUUUCAAGUGUGUUGUGCUUGGUGUUGAAGAUCAUAUUAAAUCACUUGGGAUACUAUUUUCAUUGAUCUGUAGUAAUUUUUAGGGAUAUUAGGUAGCACUAUUUCCUCCCUACUUCCGCUAAGUAUGGUAUUUAUGCUUACUGAUGUUUCAAUAUUGUUUCAGUAUUGUAGUUAGUGAAGGUGGUGUAGCGAUAAUGAUGUGUCACAUAUUUUGUUUUGAGUUAGUCUUGAUGUUCUUGUGAUUGUUUCAGUACUGCAAAGGAAAGCAUGUGCGAACGAUAACUUCUUUUUUGUUCUGUGCUAUAUGUUUAGGAUGGAUGGGUUAUUUGCUCGUCCCUUCCAAUCUAUAGGGAAGGAAAGGAACCAGUAUAAAUAAAUACAACAUUCAUUGGGUCUCUAGGUUUUAGGUGAUAAUAAAAUUCUCAAAAUUCGGGUGCACAUUUCAUGCGACUCGACUACAACUUCAAAUUAGUUUAAAAUAUGAGCAUUCAUAGCUUGCUUUAGGUGCAAUGUAAUAAAUCAUCAUAUCUACGGGUAUUGUUCCCAUGACGUAGUUGUGAUACAUAAUUUCAAAAUCUAGGUGUACAUUUCAUGUGACCCGAUAUCAAUAAUGUUAAAUAAAAUAAACAUGUUGUGAAGUGCAGGUGCAUAUCAUGUAGCAUGGUUUAUGAUGUGUUUUCAAAAACAAACAAGUGUAUGAUGAUCACGAAUUUUCUUAAAAAAACAUUAAAAGAGGUCGGAAAGUGAAAGAUGCACGUAGGUUUAAAAUGUGUAAUUAAUCAGAUAACUAGGCCAAUAGUAAUAGUUGAGUGACUGUGCUAAAACCAAGGAACCCGAGAAUGCCUAACACCUUCUCUCGUGUUAACAAAAUUCAUUACCCCGAUUUCUGUAUUUCGCGGAGUAUAAAACAGUGUCAAACUUCCUCGAUUCGGAAUUUUAAACUGGUGACUUGGGACACCAAUAAUUAUCCCAAGUGGCGACUCUGAAUUUGAAUAAAUAAUCUCGUUUCAGUUUUGUCCCUUUAAUUGAAAAAACUCUCUUAUACCCUUUUGGGUAGAAAAAGGAGGUGUAACAGUUCCCAUAGAUUUGUUUUAGAAAAUGCAUUCCAAAAGAAAAUUUCAAAAAGAAAAAAAAGAGAGAGAUAAAGAACAAAAAGAAAAGAAAAAAGAAAAGAAAAAAAAAGAAAAAAAAUAGCAACAAAAAAACAAAACAAGAAUUAGUUGUGAGCUACGUUCGACCUGAUUCUUGUCACCACAAGAUAUGUAGGAAGCCUUACGGUUCGGUCACACCAAAUAAAAUAUCUCAUAAUCCCAUAAAGUCAAGAGGAGGGCGGUUUCUCUUAGAAUCAAAUUCUCCUGUUUUAGAAAUUGGGGCAAAGUUUUUAAAUGGAUUUCAAAAGUUGUAAAUAAAUUAACUAUGUUAUCUUAGUUAUUUUGAGCCUUUAUGAUAUCUCUUCUUUCUAACCCUGUCCAAAAGCCAUAUUACAGUCCAAAAAAGACCUCCCAGAUAAUGUUUGAGAGUGUUGAGUUUAGACAUGCCAAGAGCAUAUCAUAUUUUUGCAAUGGUUAAUGCCUUGUCAUUUGCAAAAUCAAAGGAAAUAAGAAGAAAAGAACAAAAUGAGAGAGUCCUAUUGGUGAAAACCUUCACAGGUACCAAAAGACGACGGUGAGUUGAGAGAAAAAACAAAAUGAGAGAGGAUUGAUGGUUAAAAUCCAUUGGGCACUACAAGUCGAAUAAGGAUCAUGAAUAAGAUAGGAUAAUCGGAGCAUUGAAACCUAGUUUCACGGCGAAGAGGUACAACAAGAGUUGAAUAUUAGACUUGCUUGACAGAUUAGGCCACUUAAUCCAAAAGUGCAUGUCAUGGUCAUUAGAGUUGGUAUCCACAUGUGAUGACUCACUUGUGUUGCAAGUGAAUUUAGUGUUUUGAGGCCUAAAAACCUCCCUUUUACCUCACCUUGAUUUAUGUCCGUGGUCCGUACCUAUAUCCGGAAAGCCUUCUAUGUGAAAAUAUGAGAAAUAGAAAUUUUUGAGUUAAAAAAAUUGAUUAUGGUUGACUUUGGUCAAAAUUGUUAGCAAAUGAACCGGGAUCCGUGUUCUGACGAUCCCAGGAGGUCCGUAGUAAAAUAUGGGACUUGGGCGUAUGCCGGGAAACAAAUUCUGAGGUCCCAAGCCCAAGAAAUGAAUUUUUGAAAGAAAUUGUUUUCUGAAAAAUAUAAAGAUUUUUGAAAGUGAAAUGUUAUGUGAAACCUGUGGUAUCGGGCCCGUAUUAUGGUUCCGGAGCCCGAUACAGGUUUGAUAUGAUUUAUAUAUGUUGUAUGUAAAGUUUGGUGAACAACGGAGUUUAUUUGACGUGUGUUGGACUUCCGGUUGGAGAGUUAUAAACUUUGAGGGUUCUUGAUGAAAAUGUUGACUUUUGAGGUUUAAUUCAUGAUUUUACAUGUUAUUUUGAUGAUGUGAUCGCACGAGUAGGUCCAUAUGAUAUUUUUGAGGUUGUGUGUAUAUUUGGUUGGAGCCCCGAGGGCUCGGGUGAGUUUUGGGUAGGUUUCGUGGUGUCUUAGGCUUAAAUAUGGCUAUAGGAGGUUCAGAAAAACUGCAGCUCUCUAAACCUGCUAGUGCGGUCCGCACUGGUUUUGUGAUGUCCGCACUGGUGGCUCUGCGGCCGCAGUGGAUCUUGUGCUGUCCGCACAGGUUCACUGGUGACUGUGCGGCCGCAUUUGAUUUUUGUGUGGUCCGCACAGGGAGUCUGAGAGGCUGUGCGGCCGCAGUUGAUUUUGUGCGGUUCGCACAGAGGGUCUGAGAGGGGUAUACUAAGAUGAGAUUUUUAGUUAUUUUUCAUUUUUCAAAACCCAAAAAACAUAAGAGACGAUUUUUCAAAUAACUUUUCUUCUCCAAAACNNNNNNNNNNNNNNNNNNNNNNNNNAAAUUGGGUGUUUUGGGUAAAACCUAGGUAUUUUUAAAAAAUUGGGGAUUUGAAACUCGAUUUGAGGUCCGAUUUCAAAACAAAUUAUGUAUUUGGGUUCGUGGGGGAAUGAGUAAUCGGGUUUUGGUUCGAACCUCGGGUUUUGACCAUGUGGGCCCAGGGGCGAUUUUUGACUUUUUGGGUAAAACUUUAGAAAACUCAUUUUCAUGUAUUGGGGUUGAUUCAUUUAGUGUUUAUUGACGUAAUUAUGUAACUUGUGACUAGACACAAGCGAAUUGGUGGUGGAAUCAAGGGGUAAAGCUAUAGUUGUAUCGUGAAUUGUGUUCGUGGCAUCGAGGUAAGUGUUUGGUCUAACCUUAGCUUGAGGGAUUAAGUGUUUUGUCUUAUUUGCUACAUGUUAAUUGUGGAGUACGACGUAUAGUCAUGGUGACGAGUAUCUAUACGUUCAUGUCAAGCAUGCCCGUGAGUCUUGUAUUAUAAUUGUUAUGACUCUGUUGUGGUUUAUUGCGCUUCAUAUGUUAUUAUCACCAUUGUUCCCUUGUCGGAAUAUUUGUUUGAUAUUAAUGAUCCCUUACCGGGAUGUUUGUUUGGAUAGUAUUGUUCCCUUGGCAGGAUGUUGUUGAAAUAUCAUUGUUCCCUUGCGGGGAAGUUGUUAUAUUACUCUUGUUCCCUUGCCGGGAUUCCUUGUGAUCAUUGUUAGCUUGUAAAUGGGAGUGGGUGGUACCUACCACAAGAUAUAAUGAAAUGGGAGUGGGUGGCACGCCUACCACAAGAUAUAAUGAAAUGGGAGCGGGUGGUACGCUUACCACAAGAUAUAAUGAAAUGGGNNNNNNNNNNNNNNNNNNNNNNNNNAGCGGGUGGUACGCCUACCACAAGAUAUAAUGAAAUGGGAGCGGGUUGUACGCCUACCACAAGAUAAAUGAAAUGGGAGCGGGUGGUACGCCUAUCACGAAAUAAAUGAAAUGGAAGCUAGUGGCACGCCUGCCAUGAGAUAAAUGAAAUGGGAGCGGGUGGCACGCCUACCACGGAUAAAUGAAAUAGGAGCGGGUUGCACGCCUGCCACGAGAUACAGGAAAUGAGAUUGGGUUGCACGCCUGCAACAAGAGGUGAAAAGAAAGUGAAAUCUGCCUUUGUUUUCCUUAUUCUUGUUAGUGGUUGGAUUUUGAUUCCUUUAUAGUUCUCUUGAUAUUCUGUUUUACCUGUUUUCCCCGAAGUAUGUUUCCCCUUCCCACCUUUAUUUGUUUAUUCUGCUUUACUUUCCGCUAUAUAUUAAGUAACUGCAUAGGUUUAUUUGGUAGUCUGGUCCUAGUCUCGUCACUACUUCGCCGAGGUUAGGCUAGACACUUACAAGAACAUGGGGUCGGUUGUGCUGAUACUAGACUCUGCACUAUGUGCAGAUCCCGGAGCAGCUUUUGGACCGUAGUGUGGAGGCUACCUUCAGUCCAAGGUAGACCUGCAGGCGUCCGCAGGCCCUGACGUCUCCUAUAUUCCCG